CGGCGAUGUCCGAAUGGGGAAACCCAGUGCAAUUCGUUGCACUAUCGUUAACUGAAUACAUAGGUUAACGAGGCGAACCGGGGGAACUGAAACAUCUAAGUACCCCGAGGAAAAGAAAUCAACCGAGAUUCCCCCAGUAGCGGCGAGCGAACGGGGAGCAGCCCAGAGUCUGAAUCAGCUUGUGUGUUAGUGGAACGGUCUGGAAAGUCCGACGGUACAGGGUGAUAGUCCCGUACACCAAAAUGCACAGGUUGUGAACUCGAAGAGUAGGGCGGGACACGUGGUAUCCUGUCUGAAUAUGGGGGGACCAUCCUCCAAGGCUAAAUACUCCUGACUGACCGAUAGUGAACCAGUACCGUGAGGGAAAGGCGAAAAGAACCCCGGCGAGGGGAGUGAAAAAGAACCUGAAACCGUGUACGUACAAGCAGUGGGAGCACCUUCGGGUGUGACUGCGUACCUUUUGUAUAAUGGGUCAGCGACUUAUAUUCUGUAGCAAGGUUAACCGUAUAGGGGAGCCGCAGGGAAACCGAGUCUUAACUGGGCGUUAAGUUGCAGGGUAUAGACCCGAAACCCGGUGAUCUAGCCAUGGGCAGGUUGAAGGUUGGGUAACACUAACUGGAGGACCGAACCGACUAAUGUUGAAAAAUUAGCGGAUGACUUGUGGCUGGGGGUGAAAGGCCAAUCAAACCGGGAGAUAGCUGGUUCUCCCCGAAAGCUAUUUAGGUAGCGCCUCGUGAACUCAUCUUCGGGGGUAGAGCACUGUUUCGGCUAGGGGGUCAUCCCGACUUACCAACCCGAUGCAAACUACGAAUACCGAAGAAUGUUAUCACGGGAGACACACGGCGGGUGCUAACGUCCGUCGUGAAGAGGGAAACAACCCAGACCGCCAGCUAAGGUCCCAAAGUCAUGGUUAAGUGGGAAACGAUGUGGGAAGGCACAGACAGCCAGGAUGUUGGCUUAGAAGCAGCCAUCAUUUAAAGAAAGCGUAAUAGCUCACUGGUCGAGUCGGCCUGCGCGGAAGAUGUAACGGGGCUAAACCAUGCACCGAAGCUGCGGCAGCGACACUAUGUGUUGUUGGGUAGGGGAGCGUUCUGUAAGCCUGCGAAGGUGACCUGUGAGGGUUGCUGGAGGUAUCAGAAGUGCGAAUGCUGACAUAAGUAACGAUAAAGCGGGUGAAAAGCCCGCUCGCCGGAAGACCAAGGGUUCCUGUCCAACGUUAAUCGGGGCAGGGUGAGUCGACCCCUAAGGCGAGGCCGAAAGGCGUAGUCGAUGGGAAACAGGUUAAUAUUCCUGUACUUGGUGUUACUGCGAAGGGGGGACGGAGAAGGCUAUGUUAGCCGGGCGACGGUUGUCCCGGUUUAAGCAUGUAGGCUGAUUGUCCAGGCAAAUCCGGAUAAUCAAGGCUGAGGUGUGAUGACGAGGCACUACGGUGCUGAAGUAACAAAUGCCCUGCUUCCAGGAAAAGCCUCUAAGCAUCAGGUAACAUUAAAUCGUACCCCAAACCGACACAGGUGGUCAGGUAGAGAAUACCAAGGCGCUUGAGAGAACUCGGGUGAAGGAACUAGGCAAAAUGGUGCCGUAACUUCGGGAGAAGGCACGCUGGUGUGUAGGUGAAGCCCCUGCGGGUGGAGCUGAGACCAGUCGAAGAUACCAGCUGGCUGCAACUGUUUAUUAAAAACACAGCACUGUGCAAACACGAAAGUGGACGUAUACGGUGUGACGCCUGCCCGGUGCCGGAAGGUUAAUUGAUGGGGUUAUCCGUAAGGAGAAGCUCUUGAUCGAAGCCCCGGUAAACGGCGGCCGUAACUAUAACGGUCCUAAGGUAGCGAAAUUCCUUGUCGGGUAAGUUCCGACCUGCACGAAUGGCGUAAUGAUGGCCAGGCUGUCUCCACCCGAGACUCAGUGAAAUUGAACUCGCUGUGAAGAUGCAGUGUACCCGCGGCAAGACGGAAAGACCCCGUGAACCUUUACUAUAGCUUGACACUGAACAUUGAGCCUUGAUGUGUAGGAUAGGUGGGAGGCUUUGAAGCGUGGACGCCAGUCUGCGUGGAGCCAACCUUGAAAUACCACCCUUUAAUGUUUGAUGUUCUAACGUUGGCCCCUUACCGGGGUUGCGGACAGUGUCUGGUGGGUAGUUUGACUGGGGCGGUCUCCUCCCAAAGCGUAACGGAGGAGCACGAAGGUUAGCUAAUCCUGGUCGGACAUCAGGAGGUUAGUGCAAUGGCAUAAGCUAGCUUGACUGCGAGCGUGACGGCGCGAGCAGGUGCGAAAGCAGGUCAUAGUGAUCCGGUGGUUCUGAAUGGAAGGGCCAUCGCUCAACGGAUAAAAGGUACUCCGGGGAUAACAGGCUGAUACCGCCCAAGAGUUCAUAUCGACGGCGGUGUUUGGCACCUCGAUGUCGGCUCAUCACAUCCUGGGGCUGAAGUAGGUCCCAAGGGUAUGGCUGUUCGCCAUUUAAAGUGGUACGCGAGCUGGGUUUAGAACGUCGUGAGACAGUUCGGUCCCUAUCUGCCGUGGGCGCUGGAGAAUUGAGGGGGGCUGCUCCUAGUACGAGAGGACCGGAGUGGACGCAUCACUGGUGUUCGGGUUGUCAUGCCAAUGGCACUGCCCGGUAGCUAAAUGCGGAAGAGAUAAGUGCUGAAAGCAUCUAAGCACGAAACUUGCCCCGAGAUGAGUUCUCCCUGAGACUUUAAGUCUCCUGAAGGAACGUUGAAGACGACGACGUUGAUAGGCCGGGUGUGUAAGCGCAGCGAUGCGUUGAGCUAACCGGUACUAAUGAACCGUGAGGCUUAACCUU
rnacentral:rRNA from 1 species